UAUAUUCAGGGAAUUGCCAGCACAUGCUGU
rnacentral:piRNA from 1 species